CAGAGGAUAGUUUAAUGGAAAAUACCAGCUUUGGGAGUUGGAGAUGAGGGUUUAACUCCCUCUCUUCUGA
rnacentral:tRNA from 1 species